UUGCUGACUCAGCACUCUAUAUGCAAUUUUAAAUCAGCUAGCUAGCUAGCUACAUGUAGUUCUAGUGAGGCAGAGCUCAUGUCAUUCUUCCAGAGACUAGACUCAUGCAUAUACACUACUGUGGACUAGACUCAUUUACUUGUAAGAAGGUAAAAGGUAGUACUGUACUGUAUGUAGGUGGCUGUUGAUUAUGUCAAGAAUUGCCAGCAUGAACUCGUGAGCAUCUUCUUGGUUUAUACCUGUUUGGAGCGUGGUAUGACUAUCCUAUAGCCGAAUGUCUUUUUCUAUCGCUAUAUAGGGCUGGACAGAAGGGUUAUGGCUGCCAGUGAUGCAUCUCAAUAAAAAACUGAGAGUUUCCAGAGGAAGAAACGUGGGAUACAUGCAGCCUCACUAUACAUGAUAACUUUUCACUUCACUUCACUUCACUUCCCUGAACAUAAUUUCUGUUACAAGUUUACAUCGAAUGUGUAUUAAUAGUCUCUGUACCAUGAUUGUGGUAUAAUCAAUGAAACUUGGAAGCAAAGCAUGUGUUUCAAAUGUUUAUGCAUGCCUCCUCCAACAUGCAAGAUGAUCAACACUAAAACCAUAAUUAUGAACCACUAACUCAGCCAUGAUG